rnacentral:lncRNA from 1 species
UUAGUGAUAACAGUCAAACGGAUUCUUAAUCUUUUCAAUUUCCUUAUUAGUUCAACCCUGGCCUGGUAAAGGCCCAUAUAUUUGGAUUAGACCAUCAAUUUACCCUAUAGGUUAAGGCCCAAAUGAGUAACCCUCUCAACCAUCGCUCCUAAGGCGAGGUUGAGGGUCUGACUCGUACACAUGGCAUAUCACAUAAAAUAAUCUCAAUAUGCAGAUAAUGUCUGUACACGAUACGAAAAUAAAUACUUAAAA